rnacentral:rRNA from 1 species
CAGUAGCCACGGUAAAACGAAGGGUGCAAGCGUUAAUCGGAAUUACUGGGUUUAAAGGGUGCGUAGGCGGGCAGGUAAGUCAGUGGUGAAAUCUUCGAGCUUAACUCGGAAACUGCCGUUGAUACUAUCUGUCUUGAAUAACGUUGAGGUGAGCGGAAUAUGUCAUGUAGCGGUGAAAUGCUUAGAUAUGACAUAGAACACCGAUUGCGAAGGCAGCUCACUAAACGCUCAUUGACGUUGAGGCACGAAAGCGUGGGGAUCAAACAGGAUUAGAUACCCCUGUAGUCCCUGUCUCUUAUAC